CCAAACUUGGUCAUUUAGAGGAAGUAAAAGUCGUAACAAGGUCUCCGUUGGUGAACCAGCGGAGGGAUCAUUACAGAGUUGCAAAACUCCCAUAACCCCUGUGAACAUACCACUGUAGUUGCUUCGGCGGGCAGCCCCUGGGAGGGGCCGCGCCUCCUCGCGAGGUGCCCGCCGGAGGACCACCACAAACUCUUGUCUCGAACGUCUCUGAGAAAACUUUCUAAUAAGUAAAAACUUUCAACAACGGAUCUCUUGGUUCUGGCAUCGAUGAAGAACGCAGC
rnacentral:misc_RNA from 1 species